rnacentral:rRNA from 1 species
AUUGAACGCUGGCGGCAGGCCUAACACAUGCAAGUCGAGCGGAUGACGGGAGCUUGCUCCUUGAUUCAGCGGCGGACGGGUGAGUAAUGCCUAGGAAUCUGCCUGGUAGUGGGGGACAACGUUUCGAAAGGAACGCUAAUACCGCAUACGUCCUACGGGAGAAAGCAGGGGACCUUCGGGCCUUGCGCUAUCAGAUGAGCCUAGGUCGGAUUAGCUUGUUGGUGAGGUAAUGGCUCACCAAGGCGACGAUCCGUAACUGGUCUGAGAGGAUGGUCAGUCACACUGGAACUGAGACACGGUCCAGACUCCUACGGGAGGCAGCAGUGGGGAAUAUUGGACAAUGGGCGAAAGCCUGAUCCAGCCAUGCCGCGUGUGUGAAGAAGGUCUUCGGAUUGUAAAGCACUUUAAGUUGGGAGGAAGGGUUGUAGAUUAAUGCUCUGCAAUUUUGACGUUACCGACAGAAUAAGCACCGGCUAACUCUGUGCCAGCCGCCGCAGUAA